CCUUCGAUAGCUCAGUUGGUAGAGCGGUGGACUGUAGUUAACGGAAUGCAUAAAACCCCCCAUCAAUAUUUGAUUCGCUUUCGCUGCCCUCAAAAAGCAGCGAAUCCAACACUCUCUAUGCAGACAUCCAUAGGUCGCUGGUUCAAAUCCGGCUCGAAGGA
rnacentral:tRNA from 1 species